AUUGAACGCUGGCGGCAGGCCUAACACAUGCAAGUCGAGCGAGCGGCGGACGGGUGAGUAAUGUAUGGGGACUGCCCGAUAGAGGGGGAUAACUACUGGAAACGGUAGCUAAUACCGCAUACUAUCGGAUAACCCAUAUGGGAUUAGCUAGUAGGUGAGGUAAUGGCUAACCGAGGCGACGAUCCCUAGCUGGUCUGAGAGGCAGAUCAGCCCAACUGUGACUGUGACACGGCCCAGACUCCUGCGGAGGCAGCAUUGGGGAAUAUUGCACAAGGGGCGCAAGCCUGAUGCAGCCAUGCAGCGUGUAUGAAGAAGGCCCGAGGGUUGUAAAGUACUUUCAGUCGGGAGGCGUUACCGACAGAAGAAGCACCGGCUAACUCCGGGCCAGCAGCCGCGGUAAUUC
rnacentral:rRNA from 1 species